GCAUGGCUGAAUUCUGUGUUACUCUGUCAGUGAGAAAGACAGCCAGACACCAUGCCACAUCAUCAGCAUCACUCCUCACAUGUGUCACGGUGGUAUCACACCAUUGCCAUCACUUCUGCAUGAGAGAUGCCACACAU